rnacentral:rRNA from 1 species
UGGGGAAUAUUGGACAAUGGGCGAAAGCCUGAUCCAGCCAUGCCGCGUGUGUGAAGAAGGUCUUCGGAUUGUAAAGCACUUUAAGUUGGGAGGAAGGGUAGUAACCUAAUACGUUGCUACUUUGACGUUACCGACAGAAUAAGCACCGGCUAACUUCGUGCCAGCAGCCGCGGUAAUACGAAGGGUGCAAGCGUUAAUCGGAAUUACUGGGCGUAAAGCGCGCGUAGGUGGUUCAGUAAGUUGGAAGUGAAAUCCCGGGGCUCAACCUGGGAACUGCUUUCAAAACUGCUGAGCUAGAGUACGGUAGAGGGUGGUGGAAUUUCCUGUGUAGCGGUGAAAUGCGUAGAUAUAGGAAGGAACACCAGUGGCGAAGGCGACCACCUGGACUGAUACUGACACUGAGGUGCGAAAGCGUGGGGAGCAAACAGG